rnacentral:tRNA from 1 species
GCCAUGGUGGUACAGUGAGUAAGCGCUUGUCUGCUAACCAAAAGGCUGGUGGUUCGAACCCACCCAGUGGCU